GAUGAACGCUGGCGGCGUGCCUAAUACAUGCAAGUCGAGCGAACAGACGAGGAGCUUGCUCCUCUGACGUUAGCGGCGGACGGGUGAGUAACACGUGGAUAACCUACCUAUAAGACUGGGAUAACUUCGGGAAACCGGAGCUAAUACCGGAUAAUAUAUUGAACCGCAUGGUUCAAUAGUGAAAGACGGUUUUGCUGUCACUUAUAGAUGGAUCCGCGCCGCAUUAGCUAGUUGGUAAGGUAACGGCUUACCAAGGCAACGAUGCGUAGCCGACCUGAGAGGGUGGUAGCCCACACGGGAACUGGGACAGGGUCCAGAGUCCUGAGGGAGGGACCAGUAGGGAAUCUUCCGCAAUGGGCGAAAGCAUGACGGAGCAACGCCGAGUGAGAGAUGAAGGUCUUCGGAUCGUAAAACUCUGUUAUUAGGGAAAAACAAAUGUGUAAGUAACUAUGCCCGUCUUGACGGUACCUAAUAAAAAAGCCCCGGCUAACUACGUG
rnacentral:rRNA from 1 species